GAUGAACGCUGGCGGCGUGCCUAAUACAUGCAAGUCGAGCGAACAGACGAGGAGCUUGCUCCUCUGACGUUAGCGGCGGACGGGUGAGUAACACGUGGAUAACCUACCUAUAAGACUGGGAUAACUUCGGGAAACCGGAGCUAAUACCGGAUAAUAUAUUGAACCGCAUGGUUCAAUAGUGAAAGACGGUUUUGCUGUCACUUAUAGAUGGAUCCGCGCUGCAUUAGCUAGUUGGUAAGGUAACGGCUUACCAAGGCAACGAUGCGUAGCCGACCUGAGAGGGUGAUCGGCCACACUGGAACUGAGACACGGUCCAGACUCCUACGGGAGGCAGCAGUAGGGAAUCUUCCGCAAUGGGCGAAAGCCUGACGGAGCAACGCCGCGUGAGUGAUGAAGGUCUUCGGAUCGUAAAACUCUGUUAUUAGGGAAGAACAUAUGUGUAAGUAACUAUGCACGUCUUGACCGUACCUAAUCAGAAAGCCACGGCUAACUACGUG
rnacentral:rRNA from 1 species